rnacentral:rRNA from 1 species
UACGUAGGGACCAAGCGUUGUUCGGAUUUACUGGGCGUAAAGGGCGCGUAGGCGGCAAAUUAAGUCAGCUGUGAAAUCUCCGAGCUUAACUCGGACUGUCAGCUGAUACUGAUGUGCUAGAGUGCGGAAGGGGCAAUCGGAAUUCUUGGUGUAGCGGUGAAAUGCGUAGAUAUCAAGAGGAACACCUGAGGUGAAGACGGGUUGCUGGGCCGACACUGACGCUGAGUGCGCGAAAGCCAGGGGAGCAAACGGG